UGUUGGCUGGGUUGGUCUCAAACUCCUGACCUCAGGAUGUUGGCCUUAGCCUGAAGAAAUAAAAACUGAUGAAGCGCAUUGUUAGCAGAGGGAUGACUUGAUCAGGUUUUUGAAAACGAAUGUUCAGCAUUGAGGUAACUGAGGCAUCUGGAUAUGCUGGUCUGGGCCCCUGGGAGCCGCAGGAGAUAAUGGAGAUAGAGAUUCUAUGGGCUGAGACCAUUGAUGAAUUUACAACCAAUUUUCUGGAUUGGACUGAUCAGUUCAGUUUGCUGUGUGUUUGCUCAAACAGAUUUUCUAUAAGAAGCAUAUGCUGGUUUUAUAAUCUCAGAAAAGAUACGUUGGAGACAGUCUGUAUUAGCGCUUACCAUGUAGAAGGCAUACUCUUCCUUAGGUAGAUGCAAAGAAACCUAAAACAUACUUUGAACAUAGAGCCUGAGAAAUUCUGGGAUUAUGGAUUAGAUGAAUAUGGACUUUUCAGUUAUUUAACAUACUGAAAGCAAAGGGAAAGCCUUGAAGAUUCUUAUGAAAAUAGAUGUUUAAAAGCAAAUGCCAAAUCAUGUGGAGAAUGUAUACAAGCAGGGCCAAAUUGUGGGUGGUGCACAAAUUCAACAUUUUUACAGGAAGGAAUGCCUACUUCUGCACGAUGUGAUGAUUUAGAAGCCUUAAAA
rnacentral:lncRNA from 1 species